rnacentral:rRNA from 1 species
AUUGAACGCUGGCGGCAGGCCUAACACAUGCAAGUCGAACGAGUGGCGGACGGGUGAGUAAUGUCUGGGAAACUGCCCGAUGGAGGGGGAUAACUACUGGAAACGGUAGCUAAUACCGCAUACCAUCGGAUGUGCCCAGAUGGGAUUAGCUAGUAGGGGGGGUAACGGCUCACCUCGGCGACGAUCCCUAGCUGGUCUUAGAGGAUGACCAGCCACACUGGAACGGAGAAACGGUCCAGAUGCCUACGGGAGGCAGAAGGGGGGAAUAUUGAACAAUGGGCGCAAGCCUGAUGCAGCCAUGCCGCGGGUAUGAAGAAGGCCUGCGGGUUGAAAAGUACUUUAAGGGAGGAGGCGUUACUCGCAGAAGAAGCACCGGCGAACUCCGUGCCAGCAGCCGCGGUAAAC